rnacentral:rRNA from 1 species
UAGAGUUUGAUCCUGGCUCAGAACAACGCUGGCGGCGUACUUAACACAUGCAAGUCGAACGAGAAAGGAAGCUUCGGCUUCUGAGUAAAGUGGCGAACGGGUGCGUAACACGUAAGUAAUCUACCCUAAACUCUGGAAUAACUCCCCGAAAGGGGGGCUAAGACUGGAUAGGGUCCUCGAGGUGUAAGCCGCGAGGGGAAAGCAGGCCUCUGUUACAAGCUUGCGGUUUAGGAUGAGCUUGCGUCCCAUUAGUUUGUUGGUGAGGUAACGGCUCACCAAGACGACGAUGGGUAGCUGGUCUGAGAGGAUGAUCAGUCACACUGGCACUGAGACACGGGCCAGACUCCUACGGGAGGCAGCAGUGGGGAAUUUUGCGCAAUGGGCGAAAGCCUGACGCAGUAACGCCGCGUGGAGGAUGAAGGCCUUCGGGUUGUAAACUCCUGUCAGGGGGAAAGAAGGACUCGAGGAUAGAACACGUCCCCGGGUUCUGACGGUACCCCCAAAGGAAGCCCCGGCUAAUUCCGUGCCAGCAGCCGCGGUAAUACGGAAGGGGCUAGCGUUGUUCGGAAUCAUUGGGCGUAAGGGCGCGUAGGUGGUCUUAUGUGUCCGUCGUGAAAGCGCACGGCUCAACCGUGCUUGGUCGGCGGAAACUGUAAGACUUGAGGCUGGGAGGGGCUGGAGGAAUUCCCUGUGUAGCGGUGAAAUGCGUAGAGAUGGGGGAGAACACUCGUGGCGAAGGCGUCCAGCUGGACCAGUCCUGACACUGAGGCGCGAAAGCGUGGGUAGCAAACAGGAUUAGAUACCCUGGUAGUCCACGCCGUAAACGAUGGGCACUAGGUGCCGGCGGUAUUGAUCCCGUCGGUGCCGGCGCUAACGCAGUAAGUGCCCCGCCUGGGGAGUACGGUCGCAAGGCUGAAACUCAAAGGAAUUGACGGGGGCCCGCACAAGCGGUGGAGCAUGUGGUUUAAUUCGACGCAACGCGAAGAACCUUACCUGGAUUUGACAUGUACAGGACCGGCAAUGAAAGUUGUCUUCUCUUCGGAGCCUGUACACAGGUGCUGCAUGGCUGUCGUCAGCUCGUGUCGUGAGAUGUUGGGUUAAGUCCCGCAACGAGCGCAACCCUCGCCCUUUGUUGCCACCGGGUUAUGCCGAGCACUCUAAGGGGACUGCCUCGGUGAACGAGGAGGAAGGUGGGGAUGACGUCAAGUCCUCAUGGCCUUUAUGUCCAGGGCUACACACGUGCUACAAUGGUCAAGACAAUGGGUUGCUACUCUGCGAAGAGACGCCAAUCUCAAAAACUUGGCCUCAGUUCGGAUGGCUGGCUGCAACUCGCCAGCCUGAAGCUGGAAUCGCUAGUAAUCGGAGAUCAGCAUGCUCCGGUGAAUACGUUCCCGGGCCUUGUACACACCGCCCGUCACACCACGAAAGCUGUGUGUACCAGAAGUCGCUGUACCAACCUCGCAAGAGGAGGAAAGUGCCGAAGGUAUGCGUGGUAAUUGGGGUGAAGUCGUAACAAGGUAACCAAGG